CUCUUUAUAGUUUAAUAAAAAUAUCAAAUUGUGGUUUUGAAGAUUUUUAGGAGA
rnacentral:tRNA from 1 species